GGUUGAUCCUGCCGGACCCCACUGCUAUCGGGAUAGGACUAAGACAUGCUAGUCGAGCGCCCUCCAGCCACGACGAGGGCGCGGCGCACAGCUCAGUAACACGUGGCUAACCUGCCCUUGGGAUAGGAACACCCCCGGGAAACUGGGGCUAAUUCCCAAUAGGUGAAGAACUCUGGAAUGAGUCUCCGCCAGAAAAGACGCUUACGCCAUGCUUGUAGGCGCCGCCCAAGGAUGGGGCCGCGACCGAUCAGGUUGUUGGUGAGGUAACGGCUCACCAAGCCUUUUACCGGUACGGGCCGUGAGAGCGGGAGCCCGGAGAUGGGCACUGAGACAAGGGCCCAGGCCCUACGGGGCGCAGCAGUCGCGCAAACUUUGCAAUACACGAAAGUGUGACAGGGCUAUCCCGAGUGCCGCCCGCUGAGGGUGGCUUUUACUCAGUUUAGCAAGCUGGGAGAAUAAGGAGAGGGCAAGUCUGGUGUCAGCCGCCGCGGUAAUACCAGCUCUCCGAGUGGUGUGGAUGUUUAUUGGGCCUAAAGCAUCCGUAGCUUGCUGAGUCAGUCCCCUGUUAAACCCAGCGAAUUAAUCGCUGGAGUGCGGGGGAUACUGCUCGGCUAGGGGACGAGAGAGGCAGACGGUAUUCUCGGGGUAGGGGUGAAAUCCUAUAAUCCCGGGAAGACCACCAGUGGCGAAGGCUGUCUGCUAGAACGCGCCCGACGGUGAGGGAUGAAAGCUGGGGGAGCGAACCGGAUUAGAUACCCGGGUAGUCCCAGCUGUAAACUAUGCAGGCUAGGUGUUUGAGCGGCCACGUGCCGCUCUAGUGCCGCAGGGAAGCUGUUAAGCCUGCCGCCUGGGGAGUACGGUCGCAAGAUUGAAACUUAAAGGAAUUGGCGGGGGAGCACCACAAGGGGUGAAGCUUGCGGUUUAAUUGGAGUCAACGCCGGA
rnacentral:rRNA from 1 species